AACGAGAGAAAACGGCAAGAAAC
rnacentral:piRNA from 1 species